rnacentral:rRNA from 1 species
UUUAAUGGCUGCAGUAUAACUAACUGUACAAAGGUAGCAUAAUAAAUUGAUUUUUAAAUGAAAUCUAGUAUAAAAGAAUUAAUGAAAUAUAUACUGUCUCAUAUAUAAUAUAUAAAUUUAAAUUUUUAAUUAAAAUGUUAAAAUUUAUUUAUGGGACGAUAAGACCCUAUAGAAUUUUAUAUUAAUUUAUUUUUAUAAUUAAAUAUAAAAUAUAUAUUAAUAUUUAAUUGGGAGAAUUAUUAAAUUUAAAAAAUUUUAAAUUUUUAAAAACUUAAAUUAAAGAAAAUAUCUGAUCUUUAAAUUAAAAUUAACAGAUUAAAUUACCUUAGGGAUAACAGCGUUAUAUUUUUUUAUAGAUCUUAUAGAAAAAAAUGAUUGCGACCUCGAUGUUGAAUUAAGAUAAAUUUUAAAGAAGAAG